GAUGAACGCUAGCGACAGGCCUAACACAUGCAAGUCGAGGGGCAGCGGGGAGCGAAGCUUGCUUUGCUCCGCCGGCGACCGGCGCACGGGUGAGUAACACGUAUGCAACCUGCCCCUGUCAGGGGGACAACCCGCCGAAAGGCGGGCUAAACCCGCGUACAUGCCACCGGGGCAUCCCGGAGGCAGGAAAGGCUUCGGCCGGACAGGGAUGGGCAUGCGGCGCAUUAGGCAGUAGGCGGGGUAACGGCCCACCUAACCGACGAUGCGUAGGGGUUCUGAGAGGAAGGUCCCCCACACUGGUACUGAGACACGGACCAG
rnacentral:rRNA from 1 species